GACGAACGCUGGCGGCGUGCCUAAUACAUGCAAGUAGAACGCUGAAGGAGGAGCUUGCUUCUCCGGAUGAGUUGCGAUCGGGUGAGUAACGCGUAGGUAACCUGCCUGGUAGCGGGGGAUAACUAUUGGAAACGAUAGCUAAUACCGCAUAAGAGUAGAUGUCGCAUGACAUUUGCUUAAAAGGUGCAACUGCACCACUACCAGAUGGACCUGCGUUGUAUUAGCUAGUUGGUGAGGUAACGGCUCACCAAGGCAACGAUACAUAGCCGACCUGAGAGGGUGAUCGGCCACACUGGGACUGAGACACGGCCCAGACUCCUACGGGAGGCAGCAGUAGGGAAUCUUCGGCAAUAGACGGAAGUCUGACCGAGCAACGCCGCGUGAGUGAAGAAGGUUUUCGGAUCGUAAAGCUCUGUUGUAAGAGAAGAACGAGUGUGAGAGUGGAAAGUUCACACUGUGACGGUAUCUUACCAGAAAGGGACGGCUAACUACGUG
rnacentral:rRNA from 1 species